UACGUAGGGUGCGAGCGUUGUCCGGAAUUAUUGGGCGUAAAGAGCUCGUAGGCGGUGUGUCACGUCGGCCGUGAAAACCUGCAGCUUAACUGUGGGCGUGCGGUCGAUACGGGCAUCACUGGAGUUCGGCAGGGGAGACUGGAAUUCCUGGUGUAGCGGUGAAAUGCGCAGAUAUCAGGAGGAACACCGGUGGCGAAGGCGGGUCUCUGGGCCGAUACUGACGCUGGAGGAGCGAAAGCCGUGGGGGAGCAAACAGG
rnacentral:rRNA from 1 species